UGCUCUGAAAGACAAUUGUAGUGGGGAAGCAAUUUCAGGCAUCACUUAUGACACAGCAAGCAGUGUGAACAUGAGCAAAGGUGGGGAAGAUGAGCCCAUAGGAAUAUGUCAUGGUAAAACUAUGCUUCCCUUACUUUCUUUUCUACUAUUUCAUUAGAAGAAAAUUGUGUUAAAUCUUUUUUUUAUGUUAAAAGAAAUAAUAAUUUUUUAAAAAGAUAAACUGUUUCCAUAAAUUAAACCCUUUGAAUGAUGUGUUGGCAUUACCGGAGUCUAUACUUAAUAACCACAUCCUGUUCCAUAGGAAGAGCUCAAAUCAGCUCUUAAAGCAGACUACUGGAUCUGGUAUCCUGAGACUGUUCAAGACACAGUGGUUGUGAGGAACAGUAUAAGAAACAGGAACAUAUUAUUUGGAAGAACCUUACCAGAGUAGCAUGUGCACUGGACCGUAGGAGAAGGAAGAAACUGUACUGGGACACUUCAUUUUGCUACUGGUAUUGCAUCCUUAUCUGCCAGACCUCUAAGGCCAGCAACUGUCUGGAUCAGCAGAAGAUAUUGCAUCAGCAAGGAGUGUAUCAACAAACCUAGAUUUGGAACUGAAAUAUAAGUGGAAAUCAACAUGCCUCACUUCAGACAUCUAAAGAUUAAACAUCCAAAUGAGUCUAAUCACCCACAAAAUCAUGGGGAAAGAGCCUGUUGCUUUCAGAGGAUGAGACACCUGAUCCCCAUGUACUUCAGUCUCAGGAAGCAAUGAACAACUGAGUUUGUCUGCCUGAGUCAGCGAUUGGAGCAGUUCAGAAUGUUUUCUGUUGGUGGGGAAAAUCACUCUAAGGUCAGUGAAACAACCUCCUCUUUGACUCCACAAAGGGAGGGGACAGUAUUUCACUUCAGAUGAAAUUCUUCUCUCUUGAUUUUAUACAUUAUAUAAAGAUAAGGUCACUUAAGCUAUGUUACAUGGAAUUGUUCCAGGCAUAAUGAACUGUGGAUAACUUCAGUUUUGCAAAAGCAGAACCUGACUCCAUGGACUGAUUCGCAUGGGAUUUCUCUCAAGGCGGUAGGAGCAGAACCUCUUUUAGUCAGGAACAGCACAGUAGCUUUCUAUCUUGAAAUAGCAUGAGUUAUUUUGAUAUCUGGAUGUAAACAUUUCUGAGAAAUUUUAUCCCAUACCCUAAUUAAAACUAAAUUAUUUUUAUUUCAUAAAUCACAAGUAUGAUGAAAGCUGGA
rnacentral:lncRNA from 1 species